UACGAAGGGGGCUAGCGUUGUUCGGAAUCACUGGGCGUAAAGCGCACGCAGGCGGAUUGAUAAGUCAGGGGUGAAAUCCCGGAGCUCAACUUCGGAAUUGCCUUUGAUACUGUCUGUCUUGAGUCCGGGAGAGGUGAGUGGAAUUCCUAGUGUAGAGGUGAAAUUCGUAGAUAUUAGGAAGAACACCAGUGGCGAAGGCGGCUCUCUGGGACGGUACUGACGCUGAGACGCGAAAGCGUGGGGAGCGAACAGG
rnacentral:rRNA from 1 species